UACGUAGGCAGCGAGCGUUGUUCGGAGUUACUGGGCGUAAAGCGUGCGUAGGCGGUUGUCUAAGUUUGGUGUGAAAUCUCCUGGCUUAACUGGGAGGGUGCGCCGAAAACUGGGUGACUGGAGUGUCGGAGAGGUAAGCGGAAUUCCCGGUGUAACGGUGAAAUGUAUAGAUAUCGGGAGGAACACCAGUGGCGAAAGCGCCUUGCUGGGCCAUUACUGACGCUGAGGAACGAAAGCCAGGGUAGCGAAAGGG
rnacentral:rRNA from 1 species